CUCAUGUUUCUGAAGGCCUGCUCAAUCCUGAGUGGCUGCCAGACUUCCGGGUGAGCAUAUGGAAUUCUAACCUUGUAUGUCAUCUCAGGGCUUUUGCUGAGUGAACCAGACAGCCCAGAAGUCCCACCGGCAUGAUUGGGACCAAAGCUCUCACCUUGUCUGCAGAUGGACAUCAAUCCAAUUUGCUCGCCUCUUGGAGUUAUCUGCUCCCUGCCACUCCUCUUUGGGAAGUGGAAAUGAAGCCCCUUCGUGAGUCAUGGACAUGACAGAUUCUUCAGUAACCGACAGUGACAGAACAAGGCUCACAGCUGAGAAGAGCUGACCUUUUGAAAUCCUCCUACAAGCAGAAAUAUUUAAAAGCAAAAUACUUUCCAAGUACCAAAGAGCUACAUGUUAUCCACGCGUGUUCCUCUCUGCUCUAUGGAAUUUGCUACAAUCUCGGGUCAAGCAUCUGUGCUGUGGCUGCAUGUCUGUGAGAUCAUUCUCAAAGAGCCUCUUACAUGUUCUGCCUGUGGAUGGGAAAACACUGACACAGAGAGAGCUGGUGACUUGGCUAAGGCCACCAGAGACCAGACCCUUGUCUCCAACCCCAGCCCAUCACUCUGA
rnacentral:lncRNA from 1 species